rfam:Medicago truncatula strain A17 chromosome 7, whole genome shotgun sequence.
UUGUAGUGUGACAUGCCCGUUGGGGUUUUACUCUGAUGUUGAAAAAUUAUUAUUUAAUUGAUUUUAGGAAACAGGGUGUUACAAUCGUA